AAGGGAGAGGAAUAAGUAGAAAUCUACCCUCGGGACGGGGAUAGCGGCGGGAAACUGCCGGUAAUACCCGAUAACGUCUUUGGACCAAAGGUGUGAUUCCGCCUGAGGAUGAGUCUACUUCCUAUUAGCUAGUUGGCGGGGUAAUGGCCCACCAAGGCGACGAUGGGUAGCAGGUGUGAGAGCAUGACCUGCCUCAUUGGGACUGAGACACUGCCCAGACACCUACGGGUGGCUGCAGUCGAGAAUCUUCGGCAAUGGACGAAAGUCUGACCGAGCGACGCCGCGUGCGGGAUGAAGGCCUUCGGGUUGUAAACCGCUGUCGUAGGGGAACAAACGUACGAGGGUUCUCCCUCGUAUUUGAGUGAUCCUAGGAGGAAGGAGAGGCUAAGCUCGUGCCAGCAGCCGCGGUAAGACGAGCUCUCCAAACGUUAUUCGGUAUCACUGGGCUUAAAGAGUUCGUAGGCGGUCUGGUAGGUGAGGUGUGAAAUCCCCCGGCUCAACCGGGGAACUGCGCUUCAAACCGCCGGACUUGAGGGAGACAGAGGUGGGCGGAACAGAUGGUGGAGCGGUGAAAUGCGUUGA
rnacentral:rRNA from 1 species